ACAACUUCAAGGAUAAUCUACAUGCCUGCUUCACCACCAUAAAACAGUCUCUAAAUCUUUACAAGGUCUAGACUUCUAAUCAUGGGCUUGAGACAAGAGCCCAUCUGCUGAAAUGGAAGACUUUGAAGUCAGGAAUCUGUUUGCAUUAAACUUCCACAGAGCCAUUGUCCUAGACCAUCUUAUCAUUAAGCAAAAGUCGAGAACCUUGAAGAGUCCGAAGUCCGUCUAAGGAAAAUCAGUAAGGACGAGUCUCGAGUGGGGCUUUGGCUCGCCACAGAUAACCAUCUGCCUCUCCACAUCGAAGGACAGGAGAACGGUAUGAAGCUGUACUUCUCACGGUUUUAAAAUGCAAAGGAAGUCACGGCAGAAUUCAAGGCCCAGCACAUUUGCUCUCUGGCCAAUUACAAGGAAUGGUUGCGGCCCUUCUUCUCCAAGCACUCUGUGUACUGUAAGAAACAAACCAGUCUUCCCAGCAUCCUGUUUACACAUAACUUCUGGUCCAGUGGCUCUGAGGCUGUGACGCUUAUUUCUAAUGAGCUCUCAGGAGAUGGCGUUGGCCCCAGGGCCACCUGCACAUAGGUUUGAAAAGCAAACCUCUGGGUGCAGGCGGUUAGCUGCAUUGGCAGCUGUGUAUCAUUAGAAAGUGCGGCACUCACGAUGCUCGUAGAGAACCUUCCAGAAGUCCAAUGCAGACUACAGAAGAUCAUGGCUGUUGGCUGCAGACAGAGCUGGAGGAAAUCCUUGUGCUGUUUAUGCGGCAGGCCUUAACAUGCAGUGGAGGUCACAGCCCUGGCAAGCUUUCUACAGAAGAACACUGUACAAGAUGCAACAGCAGCCUCUGCUGUCCAGUAUUCAGAACGCCAACAGACCCCAUACUCUCUUCUCUUUGGGUUGCUUCAACAGCAGCCUCUGCUGUCCAGUAUUCAGAAUGCCAACGGACCCCAUACUCUCUUCUCUUUGGGUUGUUUGAGCUGGAGCAAAACUGUCCGUUUCCUUACUUAUCUUGUAUCAGACAAAAAAAUGUGCUGUCUGAAAUAAUUUUUAAAAAAUAAAACAAAAUGGUUUCCCGCC